rnacentral:misc_RNA from 1 species
CCAUAUAGCCGACCCCAAAUUCUUAGGAUAAAGGCUUAGUUGAGUUAAGCUGAGUUGUAUGCUGAGUUGUAUGCUAUGGCGCCUUACUUCAAAAAGCCCUCGCCUCGCAUCUCGCCUUAAUAACACUGACCAUAUGCCUGGAAUAAAUUUGCAAUACUGAUGAGAUGGUAAAUAUAUUUUUUCCUCAAGUCCUAAAUUAGAGCAAAGGACCAAAUCAUAAUAUUAACAUGUUUGCCCUAUUCCUACAAUAGAUAGCAAUACCCUAAGGUAAGUAUCUUUUCUCCCCUUUUUUCUCCCUUUUCUAGCUCUCUUAUUCUCUCAAAUGGUCACUGCCUAGACCAUUGGAGUGGGCAUGCCAGCGCCAUCCUGGCACCCACGUAACGGACUUUUCCAAAUUUUACAGGAUGGAGCUACCAGAAGGAUCGGAUUUUUCCAAUAUUUAUCAAUUAAUAAAUAAUCAGAAAUAGUUUCUAAUAGUUAAUCAAAUGCAUAAACAAGAACCUAAGAGAGCAAGACCAAUAUAACUAACAUUGUGUGUGCGCAUGUGUUUGUGAAGAAGAUGAUAGAAGUCUACAUAGACCAAGACAUGGUCUCCACUUGUAAUAAUUAAUUCAUAAUAACAAGAAAAUACUUAACACAGCCUUAACCGCAGACUAGUAGACCAGCUACAUGAAUAGCUUUCUCUAUUCAAGGACUAUUCUCAAGAAUAAUAUGCACACCAACAAACAAUCACUGUGUAAUGAUUGAUGGGUGUAUUGCUAACAUAAACAAGAAACAAUAUAAAUACUCCGUUAAGUAUGGAGAAAAUUGGAGAAUUACCAGUUGCAACAAGCAGUUCCGCGGGACAGAAUAUGUAUCUGCUAAAACAUGGUUGCUAUUUGAUAAAAAGUCCUCACCAUUAACUUCAUUGCUUAUGAAACUUGUUUUGUUACAGCUUUUGCAUGAAGCUGCCCUAUCAGGAGCUUUAUCUGAGAGAAGAGGCACAACAUCACCGUCAAGGCUGCUUGUCAACUGACUAAGAAAACACUCUGCUUCAUGAAUGCCCUCAGGGGCAGCAGAUUUGAAUAGCUCAAAACAUGCUGCAAGCAUAUUUUUUGGACAAGAAAAGAAGAUCCAGAGCAUACAUAGUGCCCGAAAUUUGGAUAAUUUAACUGUUGAAGAUCUGUCUUCAUCAGAAAAUUUUUGCUUCAGCCCAGAAAAGACCUCAGCAGAACCUUGCAUCUUCAAUAUUUCCUCAUCAACUAUCUGUAAGGCAUCUUUUCCCUCAAAGGAGGACAUCAAAAAGGAGAGCACAUUCUGAAAAACUGCAGAACAGAUGCCUUGGAUUACAGAUGUUGCUGGAGCCUCCAAAGAAGUAGUGCGGCAGAUAUCAGCUAAACCAAAAAUACAGGCCUUAGCAGUCUCAAAUGCAACACCAUUAGAAUCCUCUCCUCUAUUUAUCACUGUCAUGCUCCAGUUAUGCAUAUUGAUCACAACUUUAGUAGCAGCUUCAAGUGCAGUUGGACAGUAUGAUGCAUAUCGAGGAAUGAGAUCAGCUAGUAUACGCUGUACACUAGUGCAACCUUUUGAAGCAUUAACGAGAGAGAGAUAAGCUUGUUCAAGGUCGGGCAUGUGGCGCUUCUCUUUUAGAGCAACGCAGAACUUAAGGCGCUUGUAAGUAUCGUAGACGUUUUUAAUCUCAUCUCUGUUCUUCCGUCUCGCGAGAAUUUGCUCUUGGGACAGUGGUGGGGGUGGAGCUACGGUGCUCUGAGGCUCAGCCGGGGUUUCUGGUGGUUGUUCUGGCGGCGGUGUUUCUGGUCGAGUCUCGUAGAGCUUCCGCUUCUUGAGAGGCUGCUCUGACGAGGACAUGGCCCGAAAAGACGCAGGUAGAGCGCCUGCCCCUGGUUCAGUGGAGAAAUGGAGUUUCGCCUUGAGUGUUUCAAUUGGGGUUUGGGGACGAGGUGUUCAG